rnacentral:sRNA from 1 species
ACCCGAUAGGUGAGGCUACUACAGGGAUACGGACUGCUGCCGCGAAAUUGUGGAGACACAAUGAGUUGGUUUGAACAGGUCAUAUCGAACACAAGGUAUGACAUAACGCAGUUACAUCGCCCUGUAAAGCUAAAGCUCAGGCGGUU